GGGGGUUUAGCUCAGUGGUAGAGUGCUUGCCUAGCAAGCACAAGGCCCUGGGUUCAGUCCCCAGCUCCG
rnacentral:tRNA from 1 species